rnacentral:pre_miRNA from 1 species
CUAUGGCUCUCUCUGUAUUCUUCCACAGCUUUCUUGAACUGCAUCGAUCGAAGAAAGAGCAAGCUUUGUUCUCUCUUACAUGCAUGCCAAAUCGUCUUCUUGCGGUUCAAUAAAGCUGUGGGAAGAUACAGAUAGGGUCAACCAC